rnacentral:rRNA from 1 species
AACGAACGCUGGCGGCAUGCCUAACACAUGCAAGUCGAACGAGACCUUCGGGUCUAGUGGCGCACGGGUGCGUAACGCGUGGGAACCUGCCCUUAGGUUCGGAAUAACUCCCCGAAAGGGGUGCUAAUACCGGAUAAUGUCUUCGGACCAAAGAUUUAUCGCCUUUGGAUGGGCCCGCGUUGGAUUAGCUAGUUGGUAGGGUAAAAGCAUACCAAGGCGACGAUCCAUAGCUGGUCUGAGAGGAUGAUCAGCCACACUGGGACUGAGACACGGCCCAGACUCCUACGGGAGGCAGCAGUGGGGAAUAUUGGACAAUGGGCGAAAGCCUGAUCCAGCAAGGCCGCGUGAGUGAUGAAGGCCUUAGGGUUGUAAAGCUCUUUUACCCGGGAUGAUAAUGACAGUACCGGGAGAAUAAGCUCCGGCUAACUCCGUG